GUUGAGAUCGGAGCUCUGUCUAGCUCAGGGAACCGAAGAGAAGCAGAAAGCAGUCCACCGGGCUCUUCUUUCUCCCCAGAGCUGCAUCUCUCUAGAUCCUUUUGUAUUACUGUAGUCCUUGUGUUGCAUUGUGCUGUUGAUGGGCCAGGGAAUUGGCUGCCCAGAAAAAAGCAGAAAGUCUGAGCCCGCACUAAAUCAGAGCAUGAGGAAGGCGGAAGACGGAGAAGAGGGCAGAGAGGAAGAUGUGGAGAGAAGUGACAAGCAGCUAAGAGCUCUCCGUGGUGUGGCAGACUUAAACAAUGGAGCCAUUGGGCUGUACAAUAUGGGACUGAGCUGCUGCCUGAAUUCUCUGCUUCAGGUGUUCUUCAUGAACACACACUUCACCGU